rnacentral:rRNA from 1 species
UACGUAGGGUGCGAGCGUUGUCCGGAAUUAUUGGGCGUAAAGAGCUUGUAGGUGGUUUGUCGCGUCUGCUGUGAAAAUCCGAGGCUCAACCUCGGACUUGCAGUGGGUACGGGCAGACUAGAGUGUGGUAGGGGAGACUGGAAUUCCUGGGUGUAGCGGUGGAAUGCGCAGAUAUCUGGGAGAACGACCGGUGGCGAAGGCGGCGUUCUGGACUGUUUCUGACACUGAAAAACGAAAGCCAGGGGAGCAAACGGG